CCUACGGGUGGCAGCAGUGGGGAAUAUUGGGCAAUGGAGGCAACUCUGACCCAGCAAUGCCGCGUGAAUGAAGAAGGUCUUCGGAUUGUAAAGUUCUUAAUCAGGGACGAAGAAGAUGACGGUACCUGAGGAAUAAGCCACGGCAAACUAUGUGCCAGCAGCCGCGGUAAUACAUAGGUGGCAAGCGUUGUCCGGAAUGACUGGGCGUAAAGGGAGCGUAGGCGGUCUGUUAAGUUGGAAGUGAAAUCCCGGGGCUCAACCCCGGAACUGCUUUCAAGACUGACGGACUUGAGUGUAAGAGGGGUAAGCGGAAUUCCUAGUGUAGCGGUGGAAUGCGUAGAUAUUAGGAGGAACACCAGUGGCGAAGGCAGCCUGCCAAGCCAUGACUGACGCUGAUGCACGAAAGCGUGGGGAUCAAACAGGAUUAGAUACCCUGGUAGUC
rnacentral:rRNA from 1 species